rnacentral:rRNA from 1 species
CCCUAGUAGGACGUCGCGACCCGUUGGGUGCCGGCUUAAGGCCCGAUUGGUCGACUGUCGCGUCUCGUUUACCGUGCACGCUACAGACCAUCGAUCGCUCGGCCGGCUGCUCGGCGGUAUUGAACGCUUUUAAACGGUAUUGGGCCGCACCAAGUGCGUUCAGGCUCGUUCUCGGCAGGCUCAUCUCGCCCGGAUUUACGGACCUGGCGCCGUUGUCGGGCGCUUGAUGCGGCCGUUAGUCGACGAUGUCCUCGGACUGGCUCUGAAAUUCGAAUGGAUAUACCGGUCGGCGACGCUACUGCUUUGGGUACUUUCAGGACCCGUCUUGAAACACGGACCAAGGAGUCUAACAUGUGCGCGAGUCAUUGGGACUUGUUAAGCCUAAAGGCGCAAUGAAAGUGAAGGUCGGCCUUAGUGUCGAUCGAGGGAGGAUGACUCGCGUUAUAAUUAUGAGAGUUCGCACUCCCGGGGCGUCUCGUGCUCAUUGCGAGCAGAGGCGCACCCAGAGCGUACACGUUGGGACCCGAAAGAUGGUGAACUAUGCCUGGUCAGGACGAAGUCAGGGGAAACCCUGAUGGAGGUCCGUAGCGAUUCUGACGUGCAAAUCGAUCGUCGGAACUGGGUAUAGGGGCGAAAGACUAAUCGAACCAUCUAGUAGCUGGUUCCCUCCGAAG